UAGGGUUUCCUGGUAAUAUUAACUACCCCUGGCUCGGGUUUGAAGCUUAUCACUCGGCCCCAUGAUAAAAAGCAAGGCUCAGAUGACAAAUCCACGUCACGUUAUUUAUCUCAGACACUUCUAGUCACCAAUAAGUACACUCUCCACACCUCACACUCUCACUCCUGAAACUAUUUUGCCUCCGUAUCCGAGAUCAUUCAUAUUUCUAAAUAUCUUCCAGAUCAAGGUCUCCAUGAUGCGAUGCACCUGGGUGGCUCUCUGCAUCGCCAUGUUCGUGAUGUCAGAUUCUCUUAAAGGUAUGAGUUUGGGGAAAUCCGGGGGAAAUAACAAAGCUACGAACCCCUCAUUCAAGUACGAGUUCACCAUGGACAUCACCAACCAUAUCUACACCGAUGCCCUGCUCAACCACAAUUCUCCUAAAUAUGAGCUAUUGUCCACACAAGUUACCGGCGUUCUCUACUCCAUCUACGGCUGCCCCUCUUGUAACACACACACGUUUUAUCAAGGAGUAUCAGCGAUGACCUUCAGUAAUCAAACUGGAACCGUGCUUGUAAAGGCUACACUCGUGUUCCAGUCAAACCAAAUCGACGCUGAGGUGAUCAAAGCCCUGUUUAUGAAUGCGCUUGCUGACAACAGUGUAAUAAAUGGCCUUGUAUUCAACCCUAAAUUCACACAAGCCAUAUCAAGUUCAACUCCUACACCAACAAGUCCUACCACCGCAACCACCACUACAGCCAGUACUCGUCCUACCACUGCCACCACUCAUCCUACUAUUACAACCACCACUCAUCCCCCCACUAAAACUAUCACUCGUCCUACCAAUGCCACCCCUCGUCCCACUACUACAACCACCAUUCGUCCUACCACUACAACCACCACUACCACAACAACCACCACUCGUCCCACUACAACAACCACCACUCGUCCUAAAACUCAUCCUCAUGCUAAGCCCCCAACACACCACAAUGCCGCCUCUUCUUUCUUUCAUCAAAGUCCUAUAACUCUGACUUCAUUUCUCCGCUUUGGUCUUUCAUUUGGCCUCUUUUUCCUCAUCAGCUAUUCUUUUUAAUCUUGUAAACCUGAUGUGUCAUAAUAACCAGGUAUAAUGUGUGACUGAAAUAUUACACCCAAUUCUUGUCCCACCACUACAACUACCGCUCUUCCUACCACUCCAACCACCACUCAUCCCAACUCUAAAACCACUACUUAUCCUUUCACAACAACCACAACUAGUCCUAUAGCUACAAUCACCAUUUAUACUACCAGUGAAACUACCACUCAUCCCAUCAUUACAACCACCAAUCGUCCCACCAAUACAACCACCACUCAUCCCACCACUUGUCCCACCGCUCAGACCACCACUACAACAUCAUCCCACCACUAUAACCACCACUCUUCCUCCACAACCACCACUCAUCCCACCACCUAUCCUUCUACUUCAACAUAAAAAUGCCACCUCUUCAUCCAUUUUCCAAUGUAUCUGGUAUAAUGUUUCAUUCUGCCUGCUUUUCCUCAUCAGCUAUUCUUUUUAAUUUAACUGCUUAACCAAGUAAAAUUAUAACCAGGUACAGUGUGUGACUAAAAUAAUUUUAUGGUACAUGUUUCAUAUAGCUAAAAUGGAAAUAAUCAUAUUGCAAGCCUGUGUGAAACCUAGCAGAUUGAAGAAACGCCCUUACAGCAUGUUUAUUUGAAAAAUCCUGAGUGUUUUUCUUAUAUAUACUUUUUGUUUGUUUCUUUCUGUAUAAUCUAUUAAAAACUGUUGUGUUAACUAG
ensembl:lncRNA